UGCAACAGAUCUCGUUUUCGCGGGGGCCACCUGGCUUCCCAAGCCCAUCCUGACCUCAUGGGGUCACCGCUCUGGCUCAGUGGUUGAGUAAGACCUAGCCGGAGUGACAGGGGCUUCUGAGCUGGAGGGGAGCCCAAGGAGAGGAGGCCUGAAUCGGAAGGGGCGUUUCAGGACCCAUUCCAGGCACGGGAACCGUGUGGACAGACCUUCGUUCUGAUGAGCAAAAAUCAGUUACAGGAACCAGUGAUCCGAAAGGGGUCUACGAGUCGGAACAAUGAAAUUCCGUAUAAAUCAGUGUUGCCGUCACGGCUUCCUUAAAGGCACGGGGACCAGGUGACUUGUCCCGGAUCACACGGCUACAAAGUGGCAGGGCUGUGAUGAAACCCAAGCCUGGAAUCAGAACGUGGGCCCAGUCUCCAAAAACAGUCACAUUCUGAGGUGCGCUGCAGACCUUGAAGAAGAAAUCUUGGUCAAAGAUGUGCUGUGCCUGGAAAACAGAGCAGCAAGAAGCCUUCAGGGACCAGAGGUUCACUCUCUUCAUUCCAAAGGAAGGGAGUCCUGAAGAAGGUAACUCUGGAGCCUUCCUUGGCCCUGCACGUUGGAAAAGGCACACGGGCUUCAUAUUCAUCAGGGCACUCUCUCGCUUAAGCAUUCCCCUAGGCUCUCCCUUCAGGACCAAAGUAACAUGAAGAACCUGAAGGCGGCAAAAAUGUGCACACUGUGGGGCUACGUUUGUCAAAGAGCCAGUGACUUUGCUCAAAGUCCCCUCACUUCUCAAAUUGUCAACAGAUGUGCGGACAAUUUUCUACGGGCAAAAUUUCCUCGUCCGUCGAUCCGGCCGCCCACGUUAUGGACGAAAGAAAGGUAAUGCUGAAAAUGACAGUGUCUGAGGAGCCAUCUCCAAGUGCCUUUUUAUUACGCACAAUUAGCCAUGAAAUGGAGAACCACUUCCUUUCUAAUAUGAAAUCGUCAGCCAUGGAGUUGCAGUUGAAAUUCACCACAGUGAUUUCAGCCAAUAGCUCUCCCUUUUGUGUCUUUUUUACUUUCUGAAAGCCCUCUCUCGGUCCUAGCACCACAGAAUAACGAGCAAACAGUUAAACUGGGCUGGCACUGAGUUUCCACGGCGAUUUAUGGUCUCCCAUCCUCCACAGGGACUCUGAAACCAUCCGAUGACAUCUCAUUUUGAAAUCUCUUGCAUUAAGGAAAGGGAUGGGUGUGGUACGUAAGUGAACUCUGGAUGUGAGUGAUAUUUAGACAAGUCUGUACUUCAAAACAGAGCUCUAACUCAUUUAACCUCCUCGGUCAUUACCUGGGGAUCUCAGUAUCCACCACUGAGCCUUAUCCAAACCACCCCCCCACCCCCCACAUCCCCCGCGCCUUUUUACAAAUAUAUCCUUCUAAAUUUAAACCUAAA